rnacentral:ribozyme from 1 species
CUCUCAAGAUAAGAACAACCUUUACGUGGUUUGAGAGAUAAGUAAGCUAUUUUAGCUGAAACUAAUAGUUCU